CCUACGGGAGGCAGCAGUGGGGAAUAUUGGACAAUGGGGGGAACCCUGAUCCAGCCAUGCCGCGUGUGUGAAGAAGGCCCUCGGGUUGUAAAGCACUUUCAGUGAGGAAGAACGCCUGGUGGUUAAUACCCAUCAGGAAAGACAUCACUCACAGAGGAAGCACCGGCUAACUCCGUGCCAGCAGCCGCGGUAAUACGGAGGGUGCGAGCGUUAAUCGGAAUUACUGGGCGUAAAGCGCGCGUAGGUGGCUUGAUAAGCCGGUUGUGAAAGCCCCGGGCUCAACCUGGGAACGGCAUCCGGAACUGUCAAGCUAGAGUGCAGGAGAGGAAGGUAGAAUUCCCGGUGUAGCGGUGAAAUGCGUAGAGAUCGGGAGGAAUACCAGUGGCGAAGGCGGCCUUCUGGACUGACACUGACACUGAGGUGCGAAAGCGUGGGUAGCAAACAGGAUUAGAUACCCCUGUAGUC
rnacentral:rRNA from 1 species